AAAAAGCACACUUGAUUUUGUUUGGGUGCAUUUAAAUAUUAACAUAGUCAGGUGGUGUGUAUUGUUUGAGUAUAAUUCCCUUUCAUUUUAGAUUCUGGGCACCUGUGAUAUUUGUCUUCUUACACAUCAGUGCAUUCAGGUGUGGGCUCACAACAAGAGAAAUUUGCAUCCGUGAAGAGGCUGGGAGGAGAAGGGCUUUGAACACUGUAGCAGUGGUGAAUAUUUUUGCUUCUGCUUGGUGGAUUGGAUUCAUUUUGAAUUUCCAAAAUACAUCAUUAGGCAGUGUUGUUUGUUUUCUUCUUUGCCGUGAGCACUGUUGGCCCUGGAGGUUUUCUUGUUCUCAGGACUGCAGGUGGCUGUUUCGGGUCCAAGGAUGUGGAAGACAGCAUUGACGGAAGGCUACGUGGGAGCCCCGAAGGACAGCAGACGCGGCAGCUCUGUGCAAAUCCGCAGGCGCAAAGCUUCUGGUGACCCUUACUGGGCCUACUCGGGUACAAUUGUGAGUACAUCAGAGCCCACAUGCUCUGCAGCGGUCUUUUGGAGAAAAUUUGAGGAUCUGUUGCCCAGAAUUUGAGAUUUCCUGUUACCAGAGGUCAAGUAAAUGACACAAGUCACUGAAGUUUUUCUGGAUGGUAAGGGAGCUGUUUUCCCAGGCUAAGUGUACCCUUUCCUCCUAGCUAGUAGGAAUCCCUGUCCUCUCUGGGAUUUAAAGCUUGGAGUCUGUGCAGUCCAAACGUGAA
rnacentral:lncRNA from 1 species